rnacentral:rRNA from 1 species
GACGAACGCUGGCGGCGCGCCUAACACAUGCAAGUCGAACGGAGCUUGCUUGUCAGAUCCUUUCGGGGUGACGACUUGUAAGCUUAGUGGCGAACGGGUGAGUAACACGUGAGUAACCUGCCCCAGAGUGGGGGACAACAGUUGGAAACGACUGCUAAUACCGCAUAAGCCCACAGAACCGCAUGGUUCUGGGGGAAAAGGAGCAAUUCGCUUUGGGAUGGACUCGCGUCCGAUUAGCUGGAUGGUGAGGUAACGGCCCACCAUGGCGACGAUCGGUAGCCGGACUGAGAGGUUGAUCGGCCACAUUGGGACUGAGACACGGCCCAG